rnacentral:misc_RNA from 1 species
AGAAUAGUCGAGCAGGCAUCCCAUUCUUCAGAGAUGCUGGACCAACUGUGUAAUCACAGGCUAGUUCAGCAAGUCACUCAUCUCAUAGAGUUGAAUGGAAGAACAACAGUUAGCCAAUCAGUUUAUGUUGGUUUAAUUGGGUUACUUGUCAAACUGGCUGCUGGCUCUAUUGUUGCUGUCAAGACUCUCUUUGAACGUAACAUCAGCCACAUAUUAAAGGACAUUUUAUCCACUCAUGACUUCUCACAUGGGGUGCCUUCUACUCUGAUUGUUGAUGGGCAUUAUAAUCAGGUAGAUGAAGUUCUCAAGUUGUUAAAUCAACUUCUUCCUCCCAUAUCCA